rnacentral:tRNA from 1 species
GCCUGGGUGGCUCAGUUGGUUAAGCAUCUGACUUCAGCUCAGGUCAAGAUCUCACGGUCAGGUCUGUGAGUUUGAGCUCCUCCUCGGGCU